rnacentral:rRNA from 1 species
UACGUAGGGUGCAAGCGUUGUCCGGAAUUAUUGGGCGUAAAGAGCUUGUAGGCGGUUUGUCGCGUCUGCUGUGAAAUUUCGGGGCUCAACCCCGAACUUGCAGUGGGUACGGGCAGACUAGAGUGUGGUAGGGGAGACUGGAAUUCCUGGUGUAGCGGUGAAAUGCGCAGAUAUCAGGAGGAACACCAAUAGCGAAGGCAGCUCGCUGGGACGGUACUGACGCUGAGGUGCGAAAGCGUGGGGAGCAAACAGG